rnacentral:lncRNA from 10 species
AUUCGGGGCUUGCGGGAGCACCUGGGAGGCUCCACCCGGAGCCAGACACUGCCUGCCCCCACGCCCCUCCAGGACCCUCGAAGGAGAAGGAAAUCGGGACUGGCCCAGCGUCCCGUGCUCUAGAAGGCGGGCUACUGCCCCGUCCCAAGCAGGGGAGGAGGACGAGCGAGGGCGUCACUCAUUCUGUCCCCCGCGGAAGGUUGGAGUGCAGUAGCACGAUUUCGGCUCGCUGCAACCUCUGCCUCACAGGUUCAAGCGAUUCUCCUGCCUCAGUCUCCUGAGUAGCUGGGAUUACAGGAUGAGGAAGCUCUGUUUACCUAAAUGAAAAGCUUUCUAGGAGGAAGUCCUAAGUGAACAAUGAUGCAUGAGGAUGCAAUCUUACAGGCAAGGAGCCCAGUGAUAACAAAUGGCUGUAGAUGCUUUUCCUCCAUCAAGCUUC